rnacentral:tRNA from 1 species
GGGGUUGUGGCUCACCGGUAGAGUACUCCUCUCUCAUGUGUGAGGAACUGGGUUCAAUCCUCAGCACCACA